rnacentral:ncRNA from 1 species
CGGCUUGAAGAUUGCAUCCCUCUCCACCCCCGUCAAAAGGCCUUCCGGUCAGGCACGGAUGGCGCUUUUGACAACAUCACCACCCUAACGACCAUCAUCAAGGAGGCCCAUAAGUUUGGAACUGAACUGAACAUCGUCAGUGUAGACCUGGCUAAGGCAUUUGACACAGUCAACCAUUCCUCGAUCGACAGGGCCCUCCGCAUGCACGGGCUCGACUCGGAAUCCCGGGAACUGAUCAGAGAAAUGGUCACUGGAAGCACGACCGUCAUCAAGGGAGAUGGAGGGGCAUUAAGUAAUAAAAUUGUGAUCAACCAGGGAGUACGCCAGGGAGACCCCAUUUCCCCUCUCCUCUUCAACUCGGUCAUGGACGAGUUGAUAGAGCGCCUUGAACAAAGUGGAGUGGGCUUCAAAAUUGGCAACACUGAGGUCGUAACACUGGCGUUCGCGGACGAUAUAAUCUUGGCCAGUAGCAGUCAUCGGGGAAUGGAGAGGCUACUCUCCAUCACCCAUGACUUUGUCAAAGUGAGGGGCCUCCAACUUAAUAUAAAGAAAUGCAAAGGUAUCCGCCUUGUCCGCACGCCAAAAACCAAAUCACUAGUGCAGGAUACCUCCAAAACCUUUAAGGUCCCACAGGCCGGAGAGCACCUCCACGUCCCAAUGGUUGGCCCGGGAGAGCCCAUCAAAGUCCUAGGGGUCACCAUCACCCCCGAUGGCAAGCCCUCUUUCAACUUAGGCACCUUGGAAGGGACCCUGGAGAGGAUCAGAAAAGCCCCCCUGAAACCCGCACAGAAACUUGCCACUGUGCGGGACUAUUUAAUCCCUGCGCUGGAAUACCAGCUGGGAGUCCCCGGUGUAGGUAAGAGAGUUUUGGAGGAUGUAGAUACCUCCAUUAGGCACUCGGUCAAACGCUUCCUGCACCUUCCACACACUGGCAUGAAUAGCAUGUUUCUGACCAUGCCAGUGAAGGACGGCGGGCUAGGCCUGCGCCCGCUCCGCACCCAACACAUUGCACGCGUCGCGGUCGGCACCAACAGCAUGAUUAACAGCGCCGACCCGACCUCACAAACCAUUGCCAGCAUGCCGCAACACCAAAAGUCCCUGCACGCAGCACUCAAGCACUUCUCCGUCCCGACGGCCUCCAAGGACACGUUGAAGAAAGGGAAGCGACAACUGCUUCGCGCUGAAAUCGCCGAACUAACGGAGACGUACCAAGGGAGCUGUUUGCCGUCGUUCAGGAAGCGGUCUGUGGGCAAUUCCUGGCUAAGUGGACUUAACGGAAUGCGAAGCCGGGACUUCAUCACUGGGCUAAAACUCCGUUUUGGGGUGAUUGAAACUCGCUCGCAGAAGUGGAGGGGGAGAACUCCCCAGAACCCAGUGGUGUUGCUGUGUAGACAUUGUGGGCUCUCGACCGGUCAACGGGAGACUGCCGCGCAUAUCUCGCAGAAAUGCCCUGUGACCCAACGCCUGUUCAUCCAACGGCACAACAGGAUAGUACAUCUUGUUGGGGAGCAUGCCCGGAGAGAAGGGUUCACAGUGCAUGUAGAGCAUGCCCUAAAGUCAGCAGGUCAGGUCUACAAGCCCGACCUAAUCCUGAUUAAAGGGAACGCGGCCCACAUCCUCGACGUAGCGGUACCGUGGGAAAAGGGCACCGACAUGCAUGAGCAUUACGAAAGGAAAACCACCAAAUACAGUAGAAUCACGGAAGACGUCAAAGCCCACUUUGGCGUCGAUAGUUGCACAGUCGGAGCAAUUGUAGUGGGCGCACGGUCCAGCUGGUGUGCCAGCAACCGCCUUGCACUGAAAGCAUGUAGUAUGCACUUCACCAAGAAGUUCAAAAGACUACUCUGCAGAGGGGCUCUAGAGGGCACCUGCAGGGUUUUCCAGGCCUUCUUCACCGGCACUGCAUGACCACGCACACACCACACAAAAAAAAAAAAACAAAAAACCAAAAACACUUAAAAAAGUCAAAAUCAAAAAAAAUUUUAAAAAUACAAAAACCAAAAAAAAAAUUUGCCUUGCAUGUUGCAUGCAUGCCGCCUAGAAACCCCCAUUAGGGGGGGAGGAGACCAACCUUUACUUUUAGGCACCUCGAGAAGGACUCGUGUGAGGAUCGCCUGGACAACCGACAAAGUCCAACCCGCCGCGCAACUGGCCGCCAACCAGCCGCAGGGAGAAGACGGAGACGCGUUGCCGAGGAAGAUCCGAUGGCGAGUGCUAAGCGAACAAGAAGAUCGGGAGAAGACCUCAGCGCCAGGAAAUGGCUCCAACGGAGCCACCCCCCCGAAGCAGGGCCCUCAUUAUUGUCCCCACAAUACACCCCCCUCAACGAUAUAUCCCCUAUGUAUUGUUAUCAUCGGUACCGGCCGUCACCGGGCUGCUAUGCAGUAGUUGUACUUGCUCUUAUAAUUGCUGUUUUGUUAUCUUAAUUUCAAUAAAACACCAUUCAUGCGCGUCACUAUUAGAACGACGGAAGCCGGCGCCCUUCGGGGUGUCCUGCAAA